rnacentral:lncRNA from 1 species
GGAGUAUUGAGGGAGGAGCCAACCAUUUAAAGGCUGGAUCCAAGCUGGCUGCCAGAGAAACGACUCAUGUUUUUCCAUGUGCUGUGGUUUCAGUUGUUUGGUUUUACAUUUGUUUAGAAUGCUUGAACUACUUACUUUUGAAUGUCCUACCUGUAUGUUCACAAGUACAUCAGACAUGAGUAGAAGCCACUGUGGAUUGAACGGAUGUGUGUUCAUUAACCGGCAGGCCUAAAUAAAGCAGCAGCAGCAGUAGGCUGGUAGAGGACGCACGUGGGGAGCAGGCCUGACUCCAGGGCUGUUAUUGUAAGGCUCUGUGAUGGUCCUGUGGAUGAGGUAUUUGUUUGGACAGUCCAGAAUACAUCAGGACGUUGUGUACAUCUGGAGAUGUGACUGUAGAGCAGUCCAAACUAAUCUACAAUAUGUUGCACAGAUAGCCAUGUGCAUGGGGAAUUCUAGGGUCUGUAUGUCGCAGAAUAAAGAUGGAAAGAAAAAAAAAAUUUAGUUUUAAUGAUUGUGUGGAU